GAGGCGGGGUGAAGGGGGUUGUUUGCAGUUUGUUAGUAGCUGUGCUCAAAGAAGAAACAGGAGGAGAGAGAUUACACUCAGGGAUCUCUCUCUCUGUCUCAUUCUCUGUCUCCUAUUUAGUGAUAGGGGGUGAAAUGGGAGGGGAGAUGAAGGGCAGGAAAGAGAAGACUCCACAAAGUAGCAAAGAUGGGUGACAGGCCAGCUCUCAGCCACACACAGUCCUUGGGCAAGGACCCUUGAACUGAGCACGAAAGGCCCAGUGGGACAGCCCUGGGGGUGAUGACUGAAAUCCUCAGAUCAACGCAACACGCUGCAAAUGGGCCUGGCCUCCACAGUCCAGGUCAGAGCAAGGCGAGUAAGAACACUGCAUAGAGGAUGGUCUCUGCCCUGGUGGGGGCAACCGGAAGGUCACCUUCCAGUGGGGAGGGCGUUACCUAGGAGAAAGAUGAGCAGAGAGGGAAAGGUGAGAGGAAGCAUCCGGUCCCCGGACUUCCUCCAAGCUGCUUCUUCCUCCCUUCCGUUGGGUGUACCUCCACAAACAGUCCCACGUUCCUGCCAAAUGAAGUCAUCUCUGCUGAGUUUCAUCUCGUCGCUAUCAGCUCACUGUCAGGGAAAAGGAGGCUGCCUCAUUAUCCUUCAGCUGCCUUGACCUUGUGUAUGGAAUGGAUGAACCUUUGGGCGGUGAUAGGACUUCUGUGAAAUUUCAAAAUGUUCAGUAAACAAAACUACUUGGAGGAAGAUCUGUGCUCUCCAGAAGGAAAUCUCCCUAACUAAGAUACCAGGCCAAUGGGACAUGGUGCUGUUCUUUACAAGAGCCAAGGAUGAAUCAGAAAUCUUUUGCAUGCAAGUUAAAAACCUGUUGCUGAAACAGAAGCACAUAAGUAAGUGAGAGAGACAGAGGGAGCAGAAUUUACUGUUUUGUGUGCAAUUAGACCACUCAGAGCCUGGUGAGAUGGUUCAGCAAGUGUGUUAGUCAGGAUUCUCUGAAAAAAACAGAACUGGUAGAAUAUACAUACAUACACACAUACUUACAUGUAUGUGUGCAUUUAUUAGGUUGACUUGCAUCAUGUGGUCCAGGUAAUACAAUGGCUGUCUCAUGAUAGAAAGGCCAAGAAGUUGUUCAGUCCUUGAGGCUGCCUGUCUCCUGCUGUUCCAGUCCAAUGCUAGAAUCCUGAAGGAUUCCUGGAGAGCUGCUGGUCUUCAGCCUGUGUGGGAAUCCUGAAGAAGUUGGAUUGAUAACUUGCCAGCAAAAGUGAGGGCAAGCAGACAGAGGCAAUGUUUCCUUCUUCCCUGUCCUUUAACGGCCCAGAUUUAAGGUGGGUCUUCCAGCCUCAAACAAUUGGUUAUGAAAAUCCUUCACAGGAAUUCCCAGCAGCUGGAGGUUUAUGAUUCCAGAUGUGGUCAAGUUGACAGCCAAGAUUAGCCAUCACACCAGGGGAAGGCCCUGCCCCCGAGCCUGAUAGCCUGAGUUCAAUCCCUGGGACCCACAUGACUUCCUCAGAUUGCCUUCUAAUCUCUACUCACAUGCUGUAGUACAAACAUACACACACACACACACACACACACACACACAAAGGAUGGGGGUGGGAGAGUGAACGAGAGAGAAGAUGAAUGAACAAACAAACAAAUAAAUAGAUAGAUAAAUAAAUAAAUAUUUUUAAAUACAAAGACGUUUCCUUCAGCAGUACCAUUCCUGGACAUGAAGAAUGUAAUUACAAAGAGCUUUAUGUUAUUUUGUAUUUUAUCUCCCUCCUCCAUUAUGCUUCAUACUUUCCAGUCUCUUUGCUCUUUCCGGCCCCAAACAAUAUUUUGAUCAGACUGAAAAACUUCUCCCAUUCUUUUCAUUUUAUAACAGUGCUGUUUGAAGGUGUUUAGGCUUAAUAUUCUUUGGUCUCCAGCCCUCAUGUCUUCUUCACACCUUUCCCGCCUACACUGUAGGUCAGCAGUCCUAGGUCUAAUACAGAGGUUUUGUUCCAUCUACACCUGAAUCUGUCUGCUGGUCAUUGUUCCUCCUCAGCUGAGCAGCAGAGGAGAAAGAAGGACUGAAAAAAGCACCAAGACUGGUAGUGGAUGCUUAGAAUCCCAACACUUAGGCUACUGCUACAAGUUCAAGGCUAGCCUGGUCUAUACGGUAAGACUAUAGCUCAGAAGUUAAUAGAGAAGAAGCAAAAGAUCUUCAUUAUUUAGCUGAUUCUGUUUUAUUUAGCCAUUGGUGUCCUCUGUUGGGAAAGGUAUUCGUUUGUCGGCCAGCCUUGUUUUGUGAAGAAUCUGCGGCUUUCCUUUAGAAAAACCCAAAACCAGAGCUGGAGAAAUGACUCAUCAGUUAAGAGCUCUUCCAGAGGACCUGGGUUCAAUUCCUAGCACCCACAAAGCAGGUGAUAACUAUUUGUAACUCCAGUCUAGGAGAUCCAGCACUGUCUUCCAGCCUUCAAGAGCUCUGGGUAUGAGCAUGGUGUACAGACAUACACGUAAAUGAAACAGCCAGACACAUUUAAAGAAUUAUUUUAGGAAAUAGGCUCAAUCCUUCAAAGAAACAACAACAGCUUUUUCUUUCAGGUAGCUGUUCCUCUGCCUCGGGCCACUGAUGCUCCCUUAGCUCUGUUUAGAUAAUAAGUUCCUCAUGCAGAUUAACAUUCUUGGGCAGUGUUCUUUACAGGCUACUUCCACUGUUGGUCAUGUCCACCUGUACUGAUUUUACUGCUGUGAUGAACUACAUGAUGACAGCCAAUUAAGAAAGGGAGAGUUUAUGUUGGCUCCCAGUCAGAGGACACAGUUCAUCAAGCUGAGGACAGCGUGGUGGCAAAAGCACAGGACAGCUGGUCACAUUGCUUCCGUGGUCCAGAAGCAGAGAGGAAUGUCCCCCAUAAGCUCAGGCCUUCAAGCACACGAUGGUGCUGUUUGGAGAGCUACAGGAGGUACAACCUCUAGGAGGAAGUGUACCACUGGGAGCAGCAGGCUUGGAGAGUUUAUGGCAUCACCCCACUUCUAGUUUGCCAUCUGCUUCCUGAUGUGAGUGCUCAGCCUCUGGUUCUUGAUGCCCUGCUUGCCGUGUGCUGCCAAAAUGGGCCUGUUAUCCUUCUUGAGCUGUAAGUCAAAAUAAACUUUUCCAUAAGUCA